rnacentral:rRNA from 1 species
UACAGAGGGGGCAAGCGUUGUUCGGAAUUACUGGGCGUAAAGGGCGCGUAGGCGGCCUGUUAAGUCGAACGUGAAAUCCCCGGGCUCAACCCGGGAACUGCGUCCGAUACUGGCAGGCUUGAAUCCGGGAGAGGGAUGCGGAAUUCCAGGUGUAGCGGUGAAAUGCGUAGAUAUCAGGAGGAACACCGGUGGCGAAGGCGGGUCUCUGGGCCGAUAUCGACGCUGAGGAGCGAAAGCGUGGGGAGCGAACAGG